UACAGAGGUCUCAAGCGUUGUUCGGAUUCAUUGGGCGUAAAGGGCGCGUAGGCUGCGGGGCAAGUCGGGUGUGAAAUCUCAGAGCUCAACUCUGAAACUGCACUCGAUACUGCUUUGCUCGAGGACUGGAGAGGAGAUUGGAAUUCACGGUGUAGCAGUGAAAUGCGCAGAUAUCAGGAGGAACACCAAUGGCGAAGGCAGCUCGCUGGGACGUGACUGACGCUGAGACGCGAAAGCGUGGGGAGCAAACAGG
rnacentral:rRNA from 1 species